rnacentral:tRNA from 1 species
GCCGGUGUAGCUCAAUGGCAGAGCAGCUGAUUUGUAAUCAGCAGGUUGUGGGUUCGAGUCCAAUCACCGGCUCCA